rnacentral:rRNA from 1 species
AGUAGACGUUCAGAGUUUGAUCCUGGCUCAGGAUGAACGCUAGCGGCAGGCUUAAUACAUACAAGUUGUGGGGCAGCAGGGUGUAGCAAUACAUUGCUGGCGACCGGCAAACGGGUGCGGAACACGUACACAACCUUCCUACAAGUGGGGCAUAGCCCAGAGAAAUUUGGAUUAAUACCCCGUAACAUAUAGAAAAGGCAUCUUUUUUAUAUUAUAGCUUCGGCGCUUGUUGAUGGGUGUGCGGCUGAUUAGAUAGUUGGCGAGGUAACGGCUCACCAAGUCUACGAUCAGUAGCUGAUGUGAGAGCAUGAUCAGCCACACGGGCACUGAGACACGGGCCCG